rnacentral:lncRNA from 1 species
AUGACAAUGUUCAAGACGCAGCUAAAGUCACCACUCUGGCGGUCACCUGAGGGCUGUGGCCCUGGGUCAGGCUCUUGGCUUCGAGUCACUCAGCGCAAGGUAAUGCCUUCUAUCGGUGGUUCUCAAAGUUCAGCCUGCAUCCGAACCGCUGGGAGGACUUAUGAAAACACACAUUGCGGGACAACCCCACUAGAAUUUCAGGUUCAGUUGGCCCCGGAUGAGGUUUGAAAAGCUGCCUUUCCAGCAUGUUUCCAGAGGAUGCUGCUGCUGGUCCACAGACCCCAUUUCCAGAUCCUGGCUUAUAGAAAGGGUCAUUCUGCUCCCAUGUCAACCAGUAGCCACCCCAUUAAAGCAUCUGAGGGUUUCUUUGUUUGACAGAUGUCUCCAACACCCUGUCCCACUUCCGUAGACCCAAAGCACUUAAAAUUCUCCUGUGUGAUGUGGAAAAUCAUUUAGUCUAUUGGGUGUCCAAGGGGAUGAAAGGUUUGGUGGCUUUGUCCCAGAUUGUGUCAUAUAUAUAUAUAUAUAUAUAUAUAUAUAUAUAUAUAUAUAUAUAUAUAUUUUAGUCAGGUCAAAGUAUAAACUAUACAUUUUAAUGUAUGUGGAAGGAAAAUUGUUGGCCAGUUCCAGAAGAUGGGGCUUCACAAUAUUUCUGGAAUUUCCGCCUGUCUUCCUGGGCUUCUCUGGAGUUCACUCCCCCUUCAUUGCCCACAGACUCGGUUGGUCUUCAGGGAAUGACAUGGUUUCCUCAGGUUGUUUGUAAUCAGGACUCAUGGAAUUGAAGUUUUAGAAGGCUGUGAGUUUGAAUUUCCCUGACUGUAGUCACUGUGGAGGCACCCCAUAGGGCAUUGGGCUGUUUUUCACCUGGUAUAUCAAAUCUCUGACUCACUAGGCUUCUCUUGGGCUCCUCCUGUGAGUCAGGCACCACCCAAGGCUCUAGAAUCCAGAGGUGAGCAGGCGUCCCUUUCCGUGAGGAGUGGCAGGCGUGCAGAAGACUAACCAUAACAUAAUUUGGUCCUCAGAAAGGGAUAUUCAGGUUGCUCUGUGGCCCAGGGCAGGGGGUGGUGGGAUUGACUGAUCAAUUCCGGACUGGAGAGGGGCAGAAAGAGAGAAGGUCAGGAUUUCUAUUCACAGUGGUCCGUGACAUUUUGAUCCAGAAGCCAGAAUCAGUUUUUGCCCUUGCCUCCUCUCCAGCUGUCUGUAUCAGUAAUUUGAAAGGUGUGGUCUGAUCACAGAAGACCGUUCAUUUGGGAAAAUAGUGUUCUUUCCCGCCUUUACAAUUUAUUGUUUGAAUUAAGUGUUCGUGCUCCACCUAACUGUGAAGGUGCCU